GUGCAGUUUUUGUUUUUUGUUUUUGUUUUUACUUUGAAUAGAUCUGUUUUCUAGCUCUGGGGGAAAGAGCCACGGAUGACAGGAUCGUGGAAAGUCCUUA